rnacentral:rRNA from 1 species
AUGAAACUCAACCUAUCGUCUCUGCUCCGUCACCAAGUGGACUUUGAUAGCCUCACUGCCCCGUUUGCAACGCAUGAAAUUGAUGCUGCGAUUAAGGAAAUGCCCCCGGACAAAGCCCCGGGCCCGGAUGGUUUCAAUGGAGCCUUUCUGAAAGCUUGUUGGCCUAUCAUUAAAAAUGAUUUCUACAGCUUAUGCAAUGAAUUUCACAGAGGAGACUUGAAUCUUGAAAGCUUAAAUUAUGGUUAUAUCACUCUGAUACCAAAGAAUGCCUCCCAGGAGACGGUCAAUGACUUCCGCCUAAUCACUUUGCUCAAUUGUUGCCUUAAGCUGAUCACCAAACUACUGGUCAAUCGUCUCCAAAAAAUCAUCUUGCAGAUAGUCCACCGUAAUCAGUAG